UACGUAGGGGGCAAGCGUUGUCCGGAAUCAUUGGGCGUAAAGAGCGUGUAGGCGGCUCGGUAAGUCCGCUGUGAAAGUCCAGGGCUCAACCACAGAAUUGCCUUCGAUACUGUAGAGCUUGAGACCGGAAGAGGUAAGUGGAACUGCGAGUGUAGAGGUGAAAUUCGUAGAUAUUCGCAAGAACACCAGUGGCGAAGGCGGCUUACUGGUCCGGUUCUGACGCUGAGGCGCGAAAGCGUGGGGAGCAAACAGG
rnacentral:rRNA from 1 species